CCUACCCACCCGGACAGCGCCCGCGGGAAUUUUUUCCCCCGCCUGCCGGGAGGCGCAGCUUCCCCGGCUCAGUUAAUAAACCAUCAGCAGCCUGAGCGAGAGCGAGUCCCCGCCCCGAGCUGGCCCUGCACCGCCCCCGCGCCCUCACCUUUCAAAGCUCCUCCGCCUCUGCCUCCGCCUUUGCCUCCGCCCCAGCCUGUGCCAAAUGUGCUCCUGCCACAUCAUCCCCACUUGAGAACACUGCUAUAGAGCUACAAGAUUAUAGGUAUUUGGUCUGCUGUUCAAAUUAUUGAAGACUCCUCUUCCUAUUGAAAUUGGAGGUAUUUCUUAGCAUUCGGUGUAGCAGCUCUACCAUGUUCUUCUCCCUUGCAACAUAAUCCCUGAGUGGCCUUGUUCCUGAUAUGGAUUCUUUUCACUAAAGUUUUUUAAAUCUCAAGUCUGCAAAGUUUCCAAUACAGCCACUUUCCUUUGUGCCAUCCAAAUCAGUCUAGGUGAAAUGUCGGAUCCAGCUCUGAGGAUUUGAACCAUAGACCAGAUCUCUGGAGAGGAGACAGAUGUUCAAAGACAAAUUUCAGGGCAGGGAAGGUAGGUGAGAGGCCCGUGGGCAGAGUGAGAAGAGCAGCCUCAUUCACACAACGAAUGUCUGGUCGCUCAUCUGGGAUGCUUAAGACAGACCUGAAAGAAUGUGCCAUCACCACAACAACUGGAGGCAAGAGAAGACAUCAACUCCAGAGCCCAUUGGUGUUAAAGAGCAGUGAUUAAAUCAUUCAGUGUGAAGUAUGAGCCUCAAGUCAAAUUCUGCCAGUGGAACUGAUGAGAGGUGGCGAAUGACUCAAAUGGAGGAGAAGAGAGAUUUGCAAGCUGGAGUGGGUUUGUGGAAAGGACUUCAUGUGAGACGCAUGAGAUCUUCAAAUUGGCAUCCAACACCAUAAUGGGAUGAGCGGUUCCAGGUACACUUCUUGAAAGUGGGCCAAAAUAGAAGCUGCACUUGGAAACGUGUUCCACGGAGGAACCUCAUCUGUUAUGUGAAGGUGUAGCAGGGGAAGGUUGAAAUCUCCCACAAUUCCCGCAAGAACUGAUGUGGCUUCUAACGGAGGUAAAUCAAAGAUCGGAGGUGGUGUGCCAAGGAGCAGUGGGGCCUCUGAUCUUCGAGUUUGGAAAUAGGGUAAGCGGAGGACAUGAGGAACGACGCUGAAAAGCCUGGGGAAAGUGGCAGAGAGAUCCUUCUGCUCAAAGACGUUUCCCACCUCCAUUUUUCUGUUUGCAUUAAUACAAGUCGUCUUCUAAAAUGCACAAAACGGAGAGCGUGGGUGGCUCUUAAGCGGUUAAGCAUCCGACUUCCGCUCAGGUCACGAUCUCUUAGUCGGUGGGUUCGACCCCGCGUGGGGCUCUGUACUGGCGGCUCAGAGCCUGGAGCCUGUUUCGGAUUCUGCGUCUCCUUCUCU